rnacentral:rRNA from 1 species
GAUGAACGCUGGCGGCGUGCCUAAUACAUGCAAGUCGAGCGAACGGACGAGAAGCUUGCUUCUCUGAUGUUAGCGGCGGACGGGUGAGUAACACGUGGAUAACCUACCUAUAAGACUGGGAUAACUUCGGGAAACCGUAGCUAAUACCGGAUAAUAUUUUGAACCGCAUGGUUCAAAAGUGAAAGACGGUCUUGCUGUCACUUAUAGAUGGAUCCGCGCUGCAUUAGCUAGUUGGUAAGGUAACGGCUUACCAAGGCAACGAUGCAUAGCCGACCUGAGAGAGUGAUCGGCCACACUGGAACUGAGACACGGUCCAGACUCCUACGGGAGGCAGCAGUAGGGAAUCUUCCGCAAUGGGCGAAAACCUGACGGAGCAACGCCGCGUGAGUGAUGAAGGUCUUCGGAUCGUAAAACUCUGUUAUUAGGGAAGAACAUAUGUGUAAGUAACUGUGCACAUCUUGACGGUACCUAAUCAGAAAGCCACGGCUAACUACGUG